AGAGUUUGAUCCUGGCUCAGGAUGAACGCUGGCUGUGUGCCUAAUACAUGCAUGUUGAACGAAGCUAAAAGUGCUUGCACUUUAAGACUUAGUAGCGAAUGGGUGAGUAACACGUACUUAACCUACCCCCAAGUUUGGGAUAACGUUUGGAAACGAACGCUAAUACCGAAUACGUAUUUUUAUCGCAUGAUAGAAAUAUAAAAGGAGCUUCGGCUUCACUAGGGGAUGGGAGUGCGCUACAUUAGUUAGUUGGUAGGGUAAUGGCCUACCAAGACUAUGAUGUAUAGCGGGGCCGAGAGGCUGAUCCGCCACACUGGGACUGAGAUACGGCCCAGACUCCUACGGGAGGCAGCAGUAGGGAAUUUUCCACAAUGAACGAAAGUUUGAUGGAGCGACACAGCGUGCAGGAUGAAGGUCUUCGGAUCGUAAACUGCUGUUAUAAGAGAAGAAAAAAUUUGGGAGGUAAUGCCCAAAUCUUGACGGUACCUUAUCAGAAAGCGACGGCUAACUAUGUGCCAGCAGCCGCGGUAAU
rnacentral:rRNA from 1 species